rnacentral:rRNA from 1 species
GACGAACGCUGGCGGCGUGCUUAACACAUGCAAGUCGAGCGGUAAGGCCCUUUCGGGGGUACACGAGCGGCGAACGGGUGAGUAACACGUGGGUGACCUGCCCUCAGCUCUGGGAUAAGCCUGGGAAACCGGGUCUAAUACUGGAUAUGACUCCAUGACGCAUGUUGUGGGGUGGAAAGCCUUGUGCGGCUGAGGAUGGGCCCGCGGCCUAUCAGCUUGUUGGGGGGUGAUGGCCUACCAAGGCGACGACGGGUAGUCCGGCCUGAGAGGGCGACCGGCCACACUGGGACUGAGACACGGCCCAGACUCCUACGGGAGGCAGCAGUGGGGAAUCUUGCGCAAUGGGCGAAAGCCUGACGCAGCGACGCCGCGUGAGGGAUGACGGCCUGGUGU